rnacentral:rRNA from 1 species
AUUGAACGCUGGCGGCAUGCCUUACACAUGCAAGUCGAACGGCAGCACGGGAGCAAUCCUGGUGGCGAGUGGCGAACGGGUGAGUAAUACAUCGGAACGUGCCCAAUCGUGGGGGAUAACGCAGCGAAAGCUGUGCUAAUACCGCAUAAGAUCUACGGAUGAAAGCAGGGGACCGCAAGGUCUUGCGCGAAUGGAGCGGC